rnacentral:rRNA from 1 species
CAGCCCACGGUAAUACAGAGGGUGCGAGCGUUAAUCGGAUUUACUGGGCGUAAAGCGUGCGUAGGCGGCUUUUUAAGUCGGAUGUGAAAUCCCUGAGCUUAACUUAGGAAUUGCAUUCGAUACUGGGAAGCUAGAGUAUGGGAGAGGAUGGUAGAAUUCCAGGUGUAGCGGUGAAAUGCGUAGAGAUCUGGAGGAAUACCGAUGGCGAAGGCAGCCAUCUGGCCUAAUACUGACGCUGAGGUACGAAAGCAUGGGGAGCAAACAGGAUUAGAUACCCGAGUAGUCCCUGUCUCUUAUACAC